AACGAACGCUGGCGGCAGGCUUAACACAUGCAAGUCGAGCGCCCCGCAAGGGGAGCGGCAGACGGGUGAGUAACGCGUGGGAAUCUACCCAUCUCUACGGAAUAACGCAUGGAAACGUGUGCUAAUACCGUAUACGUCCUUCGGGAGAAAGAUUUAUCGGAGAUGGAUGAGCCCGCGUUGGAUUAGCUAGUUGGUGGGGUAAAGGCCUACCAAGGCGACGAUCCAUAGCUGGUCUGAGAGGAUGAUCAGCCACACUGGGACUGAGACACGGCCCAGACUCCUACGGGAGGCAGCAGUGGGGAAUAUUGGACAAUGGGCGCAAGCCUGAUCCAGCCAUGCCGCGUGAGUGAUGUAGGCCCUAGGGUUGUAAAGCUCUUUCACCGGUGAAGAUAACGACGGUAACCGGAGAAGAAGCCCCGGCUAACUUCGUGCCAGCAGCCGCCGUAACAC
rnacentral:rRNA from 1 species